ACCUAGGAAAUGAGGAUACAACAGUAAGUAAGCGCAAUUCAGUAUAUAUGAUUGUGUUGAUUAAUUUUGUACAUUCUGUAUCACAAAUAUUAAGUCUUAGAAAGUACAGAGUGGUUGUUAAGUAGAUCCAAGCAUGCUUGAGAAAGGCAUAAAUCAUUUUUAAAAAAGUAAAUUUUUAUAUGGAUAUGCAACUAAAUAUAUCGAGUGAAACAUAUUAUGGGUUAAAAAUGAAAAUGAAUGACAAGUUGAUGUAUUACAAAAUCAGUUUGUAGUUGCAAAAGAAGAGAGAUUAGCUAUUAUGAAUUAUAUACUAACCAAAAAGGUGAACUUCUGAAAUCAGGAAGUAAGAGAGCAG
rnacentral:misc_RNA from 1 species